rnacentral:rRNA from 1 species
GAUGAACGCUGGCGGCGUGCCUAAUACAUGCAAGUCGAGCGAACGGACGAGAAGCUUGCUUCUCUGAUGUUAGCGGCGGACGGGUGAGUAACACGUGGAUAACCUACCUAUAAGACUGGGAUAACUUCGGGAAACCGGAGCUAAUACCGGAUAAUAUUUUGAACCGCAUGGUUCAAAAGUGAAAGACGGUCUUGCUGUCACUUAUAGAUGGAUCCGCGCUGCAUUAGCUAGUUGGUAAGGUAACGGCUUACCAAGGCAACGAUGCAUAGCCGACCUGAGAGGGUGAUCGGCCACACUGGAACUGAGACACGGUCCAGACUCCUACGGGAGGCAGCAGUAGGGAAUCUUCCGCAAUGGGCGAAAGCCUGACGGAGCAACGCCGCGUGAGUGAUGAAGGUCUUCGGAUCGUAAAACUCUGUUAUUAGGGAAGAACAUAUGUGUAAGUAACUGUGCACAUCUUGACGGUACCUAAUCAGAAAGCCACGGCUAACUACGUGCCAGCAGCCGCGGUAAUACGUAGGUGGCAAGCGUUAUCCGGAAUUAUUGGGCGUAAAGCGCGCGUAGGCGGUUUUUUAAGUCUGAUGUGAAAGCCCACGGCUCAACCGUGGAGGGUCAUUGGAAACUGGAAAACUUGAGUGCAGAAGAGGAAAGUGGAAUUCCAUGUGUAGCGGUGAAAUGCGCAGAGAUAUGGAGGAACACCAGUGGCGAAGGCGACUUUCUGGUCUGUAACUGACGCUGAUGUGCGAAAGCGUGGGGAUCAAACAGGAUUAGAUACCCUGGUAGUCCACGCCGUAAACGAUGAGUGCUAAGUGUUAGGGGGUUUCCGCCCCUUAGUGCUGCAGCUAACGCAUUAAGCACUCCGCCUGGGGAGUACGACCGCAAGGUUGAAACUCAAAGGAAUUGACGGGGACCCGCACAAGCGGUGGAGCAUGUGGUUUAAUUCGAAGCAACGCGAAGAACCUUACCAAAUCUUGACAUCCUUUGACAACUCUAGAGAUAGAGCCUUCCCCUUCGGGGGGGCAAAGUGACAGGUGGUGCAUGGUUGUCGUCAGCUCGUGUCGUGAGAUGUUGGGUUAAGUCCCGCAACGAGCGCAACCCUUAAGCUUAGUUGCCAUCAUUAAGUUGGGCACUCUAAGUUGACUGCCGGUGACAAACCGGAGGGAGGUGGGGAUGACGUCAAAUCAUCAUGCCCCUUAUGAUUUGGGCUACACACGUGCUACAAUGGACAAUACAAAGGGCAGCGAAACCGCGAGGUCAAGCAAAUCCCAUAAAGUUGUUCUCAGUUCGGAUUGUAGUCUGCAACUCGACUACAUGAAGCUGGAAUCGCUAGUAAUCGUAGAUCAGCAUGCUACGGUGAAUACGUUCCCGGGUCU